ACCCUCUCAAGAUCCCACCUGGAGAGUUUCCAGUACUCUACCAGUCUCGGCUGUGGGAGGGAGAGUCAAGCAGAGGCCUUCCCAUUCCAUUCCUAGCUUGGGCAAUGGCUAGCAACUGGAAGGCAACCUGCUACAAAG
rnacentral:snoRNA from 1 species